GGGGGAGCGCCAGAGUUGGAGAGCUGGGGCGGACUGUAAAUCCGUUGCCUUCGGGCUGAGUUGGUUCAAAUCCAACCUCCCUCACCA
rnacentral:tRNA from 1 species